CUUGGUUAGCCGUUAGCCAUUGAGUUGAUAUGAAAAUUUCACAGUUGGCUGUUAGCCAAUCAGAAACCAGGAAUUUUUUAAAUAAAUAAUAAUACAUUUUGUUUGUGGAAACCGACCGCGUAAACUUAUUGCUCCAGAAAAUAACAUGCUACGUCGAAUCGUUGUGUACCUAAUUAUUAUUACUUAACGUGAAAAUGAAACAUUAUAUAUAAUGGUUUUACUAGCCCGCGUGAAGGCCCAGGGAAGAAUGGUGG
rnacentral:lncRNA from 1 species